rnacentral:rRNA from 1 species
GUCCACGCCCUAAACGAUGUCAAUUAGCUGUUGGGGGUUAGAAUCCUUGGUAGCGUAGCUAACGCGUGAAAUUGACCGCCUGGGGAGUACGGCCGCAAGGUUAAAACUCAAAGGAAUUGACGGGGGCCCGCACAAGCGGUGGAUGAUGUGGAUUAAUUCGAUGCAACGCGAAAAACCUUACCUGCUCUUGACAUGUAACGAACUUGGCAGAGAUGCCUUGGUGCCCGAAAGGGAGCGUUAACACAGGUGCUGCAUGGCUGUCGU